rnacentral:other from 1 species
UUUACCCUGCGGUGUGCGUGUAUCGAAACUAUAUCCUUGAACCUUAAGUUAGUACGAAUGGAGCCUCUAUUUCGGUUGUGGCCGACAGGCCUUCGCUGGAAGUCGAAAAUCAUCGAUCGGGUUCCACCUGGUUUCAAAGAACGUUCAAAGGAACUGUUCCCCACGGCAUCUGCGGGGUUUUU